AAUGAACGCUGGCGGCGUGUCUUAAGCAUGCAAGUCGUGCGGCAAGGGUAGCAAUACCCCUAGAGCGGCGGACUGGUGAGUAACGCGUGGGUGAUCUGCCCUUGGGUUGGGGAUAGCCAUUAGAAAUAGUGGGUAAUACCGAAUACGAUGGCGAUACUGUGGUCUUGUCAUGAAAGGCGCUUCGGCGCCACGCGAGGAUGAGCCCGCGUCCCAUUGGCUAGUUGGUGAGGUAACGGCCCACCAAGGCGAUGAUGGGUAGGCGGCCUGAGAGGGUGUACGCCCACACUGGGACUGAGAUACGGCCCAGAAUCCUACGGGAUGCAGCAGCUAAGAAUAUUCCGCAAUGGACGAAAGUCUGACGGAGCGAGGCCGCGUGGAUGACGAAGGCCGAAAGGUUGUAAAAUCCUUUUGUUGGGGAAGAAUAAGGCUGGGAGGGAAUGCCCGGCUGAUGACAUGAACCGACGAAUAAGUCCCGGCUAACUACGUGCCAGCCGCCGCCGUAA
rnacentral:rRNA from 1 species